AUUGAACGCUGGCGGCAUGCCUUACACAUGCAAGUCGAGCGGCAGCGCGGGGCAACCUGGCGGCGAGCGGCGAACGGGUGAGUAAUACAUCGGAACGUGCCCAGAUGUGGGGGACAACUACUCGAAAGAGUGGCUAAUACCGCAUGUGAUCUGAGGAUGAAAGCGGGGGACCUUUUGGCCUCGCGCAUUUGGAGCGGCCGAUGGCAGAUUAGGUAGUUGGUGGGGUAAAGGCUUACCAAGCCUGCGAUCUGUAGCUGGUCUGAGAGGACGACCAGCCACACUGGGACUGAGACACGGCCCAGACUCCUACGGGAGGCAGCAGUGGGGAAUUUUGGACAAUGGGCGCAAGCCUGAUCCAGCCAUUCCGCGUGCAGGAUGAAGGCCCUCGGGUUGUAAACUGCUUUUGUACGGAACGAAAAGGUUUCUUCUAAUACAAGGGACUGAUGACGGUACCGUAAGAAUAAGCACCGGCUAACUACGUGCCAGCAGCCGCCGUAAAAC
rnacentral:rRNA from 1 species